UCGUCUAGCGGUUAGGACACCGCCCUUUCACGGCGGUAGCAGGGGUUCGAUUCCCCUUAGGGUCGCCA
rnacentral:tRNA from 1 species